GUGCUUGCUUCAGAAGCACAGAUACUAAAAUUGGAAUGAUACAGAGAUUAGCAUGGCCCCUAGGCAAGGAUGUCACACAGAUUUGUGAAGGGUUCCAUAUUUUU
rnacentral:snRNA from 1 species